ACGGGGGGGGCAAGCGUUGUUCGGAAUUACUGGGCGUAAAGGGCUCGUAGGUGGCCUGUUAAGUCAGACGUGAAAUCCCUCGGCUCAACCGGGGAACUGCGUCUGAUACUGGGAGGCUUGAAUCCGGGAGAGGGACGUGGAAUUCCAGGUGUAGCGGUGAAAUGCGUAGAUAUCUGGAGGAACACCGGUGGCGAAGGCGGCGUCCUGGACCGGUAUUGACACUGAGGAGCGAAAGCCAGGGGAGCAAACGGGAUUAGAUACCCCGGUAGUCCUGGCCCUAAACGAUGAGUGCUUGGUGUGGCGGGUAUCGAUCCCUGCCGUGCCGAAGCUAACGCGUUAAGCACUCCGCCUGGGGAGUACGGUCGCAAGGCUG
rnacentral:rRNA from 1 species